GACGAACGCUGGCGGCGUGCCUAAUACAUGCAAGUUGAGUGAUGAAGAUUGGUGCUUGCACCCAUUUGAAGAGCAGCGAACGGGUGAGUAACGCGUGGGGAAUCUGCCUUUGAGCGGGGGACAACAUUUGGAAACGAAUGCUAAUACCGCAUAACAACUUUAAACAUAAGUUUUAAGUUUGAAAGAUGCAAUUGCAUCACUCAAAGAUGAUCCCGCGUUGUAUUAGCUAGUUGGUGAGGUAAAGGCUCACCAAGGCGAUGAUACAUAGCCGACCUGAGAGGGUGAUCGGCCACAUUGGGACUGAGACACGGCCCAAACUCCUACGGGAGGCAGCAGUAGGGAAUCUUCGGCAAUGGACGAAAGUCUGACCGAGCAACGCCGCGUGAGUGAAGAAGGUUUUCGGAUCGUAAAACUCUGUUGGUAGAGAAGAACGUUGGUGAGAGUGGAAAGCUCAUCAAGUGACGGUAACUACCCAGAAAGGGACGGCUAACUACGUG
rnacentral:rRNA from 1 species